rnacentral:rRNA from 1 species
GAACGCGAAGAACCUUACCCGGGCUUGAAUUGCAGAGGAAGGAUUUAGAGAUAAUGACGCCCUUCGGGGUCUCUGUGAAGGUGCUGCAUGGUUGUCGUCAGCUCGUGCCGUGAGGUGUCGGCUUAAGUGCCAUAACGAGCGCAACCCCUCUCUUCAGUUGCCAUCAGGUAGUGCUGGGCACUCUGGAGACACUGCCACCGUAAGGUGUGAGGAAGGUGGGGAUGACGUCAAAUCAGCACGGCCCUUACGUCCGGGGCUACACACGUGUUACAAUGGCCGGUACAGAGGGAUGGUGUAAUGCAAAUUGCAUCAAAUCUUGAAAGCCGGUCCCAGUUCGGACUGGGGUCUGCAACCCGACCCCACGAAGCUGGAUUCGCUAGUAAUCGCGCAUCAGCCAUGGCGCGGUGAAUACGUUCCCGGGUCUUGUACACACC